rnacentral:rRNA from 1 species
ACACACUUCAGAGCUCAUUUCAAUUAAGAAUUCUAUUUUUAAUUUACUACUAAAUCCACCUUCAUAAAUAUUUUACUUGCUUUAAUCCGUAUAAUUUUAACUUAUUGUAACCCACUACUCCCAUGGAUAUAGGCUGCACCUUGACCUGAAGUCCUAGUUCAACAACUAAUUAGAUUAUGUUCUUUAAAAUUAAUCAGACAACGGCGGUAUACAAACUGAAAACUAACCCAUGUGCAUUAAAUCGUGGAUUAUCGAUCCAAGAGCAGGUUCCUCUAGUAAGAAUGAAGUACCGCCAAAUUCUUUAGGUUUAAAAAUUUUUACUACCC